CACGUAGGGGGCAAGCGUUGUCCGGAAUUAUUGGGCGUAAAGAGCUCGUAGGCGGCUCGGUAAGUCAGGUGUCAAAUCCUCAGGCUCAACCUGGGGCUGCACCUGAUACUGCUGUGGCUAGAGUCCGGUAGGGGAGCGUGGAAUUCCUGGUGUAGCGGUGAAAUGCGCAGAUAUCAGGAGGAACACCGAUGGCGAAGGCAGGUCUCUGGGCCACUACUGACGCUGAGAAGCGAAAGCAUGGGGAGCGAACAGG
rnacentral:rRNA from 1 species